GUCUACGGCCAUACCACCCUGAAUGUGCCUGAUCUCGUCUGAUCUCAGAAGCUUAAGAAGAAUCAGGUCUGGUUAGUACUUGGAUGGGAGAUCGCCUGGGAAUACUGGGUGCUGUGGGGU
ensembl:rRNA 5S_rRNA 5S ribosomal RNA